ensembl:lncRNA
AGGGCUGCUCCUGCAGCAUAUGGCGGUUCCCAGGCUAGGGGUCGAAUCGGAGCUGCAGCUGCCAGCCUUCACCACAGCCACAGCCACUCAGGAUCUGAGCGAAGCCAGUGACCUCCACCAGGGCAACACCAGGUCCUUGACCCACUGAGCGAAGCCAGGGAUUGAACCCACAACCUCAUGGUUUCUAGUCGGAUUCAUUUCCACUGCGCCACGAUGGGAACACCCUGAUUUAGAACUUUGAAGAACUGUUCACUUGGCACCCACGACCCCUUCCGCAUGGGCUGCCCAUUUCCUUCCGAGGGAAGCAGACUCCACUCCUCCCAGCUCCUCCCCAGCCUGGCACUGAGCUCUGAGCACACAAAGCAGGCACCAGACUAGCCUGCAGUCAGCCUGGGGGAUGACCACAAAAUCCCAGGCUGCUUUCCACAGCUUUCUUACACCCUGCAGUGUCUGACCACGGCUACUCAGCAAAGGAUACUGGCAGAGAAUACAUCGUAGAGGGUUCAUUUGACCUUGAAACAAUCUGCUCUCUGGGCACCAUGUACUGGCAUAUGGAAGGCUGUGAGUGUCAAGUUCAGACCUGGGUUCAGGGCUGGCAGAUGAACAUCUGCUGUGAUGCUGACAGUAGGUCUGUUUCAGUAGCAUCUAGGCUCUUCCCCCACAUAAGUGUGUGUGUGUGUGUGUGUGUGUGUGUGUGAUUUGUAUUUUCACAUUUUGCUCUUUUUUUGGUCAAAAUGAACAGAAAAACGCAGAAAGGAUAGGAUUCCACAGACAGGAGGCAGAGAUCCCAUGAACGCCAUUUCCAUUGUUUUCUCAAUUAUAUAAAUAGUGGCUAAAGUGGCAACUCAAGUGAAAGUCCAGCCAAAUUCAGUCAACUGUACACUCAAGAACAAAACUAAGUAAUGCAUAAAUACUACAAAAAUUAAUGAAUAUUUCAUCUUAAAGAUGCGAUGCGAGAGGUUUUUCAUAUUUGGUAGCUUUCAGAACCACCCCCCAUCUCACAAUAUAGAAACACAUUUUUCAUCAUUUUCACAUCCCGCGUUUAAACAUAUUUGGGGAACACUAUGAACAGGCGACCCGGGACUGUCUUCAUGCCUCUGUUCCCCACUUGUCGGCCCAGGGAUGGAUAUAUUCAGCUUAGACACCCAAAUCUCAAACCCAGUAAAUGAUCUAGUGCCAACCAAACGAAAGCGUCUGAUCCAUUAUUCAGCACAUUGUGCUGAUUUCACUUAAGCGCCAAUAUUCUCCUCCUCAUACACUUAAAAAUAUGACCCCUCUCACUUAUUUAAACCCCGUAACUGAGUACCUGUAGAAUGAACUGAGGAUGAGGUCAUUAUCAAUUUAUCUUGUGGUAAUCUCUGUACCUUUCUCGGGAGUGUGGUGUCUUUCAAUUCUAAGCCACAAAUAAGAAGAGGAUUCAGAAUAAGUGAUGCUUAAUGAAUCGAGGGUACUUCAGCUGAGGUCUCUUUCUGGGCAGUCGGUUUACCUCUUGUUGAUACAGUCGGCUGCAAGCCAGCAGCGGGCCUCACUUACAGGGCACUAUCUCAUAUCUAGAUCCACCUUUGACACCAGCCCGGCGACAGGUGAAAUCCAAGGUGACUCAUUUCUCCGAUAGCUCAGUCAGCUCUAGUUACUUUUGUCAGGAUUACUACGGAAAAAUAGAUGGGUCAUUCCAUUUAUCGUUUCCUUGGGGACAUCUGAGAAAUAUUUUAUUGAGGAUGUCUUCUCAUGACAUAAAGGAUAAGCCACCUGCUUUACCUGAGACUGGACAGAAACGCUCAUUGAGUGCACACGUAAUUCCCUCUCAGUUAGUUGGGGCUGUCCCAGGGAUUCUGGCUCUCAGGUUUAUAAAGGUUCCCUCUACCAAAGCCGAAGGAAUGGAAUGUAGCAAAAUACAGUCAGAAUCCAAAGGGAGUUAGGAACAUACACUGAAUUCAUUCAUUCAUUCAUUCAUCUAUUCAAAUAAUAUCUGCUGAAAACCUACUGUGUGCCAAAGUACACACUGCAAGGUCAUAAAAUUCGGAUGUUUCCAGAAACUCAGGUAACAAAGGCAGAAGCCUCAAUGUCUCCAUUUGGAAAAUGAAGGCGCAAGAGAAAGAAGAGCCAUAACGAAGCCCAUGUGGUGCUUUCACCCUCUUCAAUAUAGAAAGAAAAUAAACUACUAAUUAUGGCUUUUCAAAACUGGAUAUCCUCGUCUCGGUACGCAGGUGCUGUAGCCAACAAGAGCCCACACAUCCGCACCCCCCCAAAACCUGAGAAUCUCUCCAGGGAUGAGCCUGGAGCCCUUUAAUGCUGGGUCAUGAGCUUGGCAGGAAAGCAGACUCCACUUUCAUCAACAAAGUCAAAAGCCAAUGGGUCUUCAAUGCAAGCUGGGAUUUACAGAAAGCUCACAGAAUUCUAACCCAAGGGAUGUUCCGGAUAACUUAGUGGGUGAUUCUAUGUAUCUCUAAUUUGAUACAUAGAAAUCUGAUGACCAGAAGGUCACAAGCCCUCAGGCAUCUUCUUUAUAUAGGAGCUGAUUUAUUUACACUCUGCCCACUUCCAAAAAGGUUUUGAGGCAAUUCUCCAAUCACUGUGGUUCAUCACUGUGUUAUUAUUAGAAGCGAGCCUUUCUUUUUAAAUGAUGUUUCUAAAACUCCAUGGAUUUAGAUAGUGCUGUGUAUACACUGGCAUUUUGACAGAGAUACUAACAAGCUCAAUCCCCGUGGUAUUUCAAAGGCUUCGUCACAUCAGCUCCUUGGAUUUGACAGGGCAAGUGUUGUGAAUUAUAACACAGUGAAGAGUCACCCGUGUCCACCUGCCUGUCUCAUAUCAUGUGCAGAGCAAACUUAGUGUGAAUAGAUUAAUAACUUCGGGGGAGUUCCUGUCAUGGCUCAGCGGUUAACGAACCCGACUAGUAGCCAUGAGGACCCAGGUUCAGUCCCUGGCCUCGCUCCGUGGGUUAAGGAUCCGGCAUUGUCAUGAGCUGUGGUGUAGCUCGCAGAUGCAGCUCAGAUCCUGCAUGGUUGUGGCUGUGGCUGUGGUGUAGGCCAGUGGCUACAGCUCCGAUUUGACUCCUAGCCUGGGAACUUCCAUAUGCCACCAGUGCAGCCUUAAAA